UCGUGGUGCUUAUCAGUUAGAAAUGAUAUUUUUACUGCUACUUUUAAUGUUGCUCAGAAGAAUAAAAGCUUUAGUCGAACAAGUGGCAGCUCCCCCUCGAGCUCCAGUGCAGGAGAGCACUAGAGGAGCAGCAACCUCACCCGCCGUUAUUGUUGCUGGUGAUAUUCUCUGGUACAAGAGGGACCCGCCACCAGAUGCUCACUGUCAGUUCUUAGUGCAAUCUGAGCAAGAGACCAGCUACUGUUACAGAAAAUGUGAAAUGGUUGUAUCUCAGCACAGCAAAUUACCCAAAAACUGUGUUGUCUAGCUGAUUGAUCACUGGAAAGGCCACCAACUCUCACAUUACUUCACUGCACAAUAUACUGUGACAUGCACAUGCAAGACACAAUGUGACAAUUAAUCACUAUAAUACUCGAUAUGCACACACAAGUAAAUUUCUAGUUCUUUAAUUUGUAUCAAAUGUAUUAUGUAUUGUGUCUAUUUUUGUUUCCAAUAAUGCUGG